rnacentral:rRNA from 1 species
GACGAACGCUGGCGGCGUGCUUAACACAUGCAAGUCGAACGGUAAGGCCCUUCGGGGUACACGAGUGGCGAACGGGUGAGUAACACGUGGGUGAUCUGCCCUGCACUUCGGGAUAAGCCUGGGAAACUGGGUCUAAUACCGGAUAGGACCACUGCCUGCAUGGGCGGUGGUGGAAGGCUUUUGCGGUGUGGGAUGGGCCCGCGGCCUAUCAGCUUGUUGGUGGGGUGAUGGCCUACCAAGGCGACGACGGGUAGCCGGCCUGAGAGGGUGACCGGCCACACUGGGACUGAGAUACGGCCCAGACUCCUACGGGAGGCAGCAGUGGGGAAUAUUGCACAAUGGGCGCAAGCCUGAUGCAGCGACGCCGCGUGGGGGAUGACGGCCUUCGGGUUGUAAACCUCUUUCAGCACCGACGAAGCGCAAGUGACGGUAGGUGCAGAAGAAGGACCGGCCAACUACGUGCCAGCCGCCGCCGUAA